CCGCGCAGCCGGGGAGAUAGCGGUGCCCUGUACCUGCAAUCCGCUACAGCAGGGGUGAUGCCGAUCCGAGGCUGGUAUUCUGUGGAGCAGCCCUCUAUAAGUGAUGUUGACGUCUGGGUCUUGUGCGGCGGGAACCUGUGAACCGUGUCAGGUCGGGAACGGAGCAGCACUAAGCAGGAGCUCCCGGGUGACGCAAGGGUGCCUGGGCUGAGUUAACUGUAGAGGUAACGUCUGUGGAUGGCAGUCGAAGAAAGGCGCGCGG
rnacentral:SRP_RNA from 1 species